rnacentral:rRNA from 1 species
AUUGAACGCUGGCGGCAGGCUUAACACAUGCAAGUCGAGCGGAGAUGAGGUGCUUGCACCUUAUCUUAGCGGCGGACGGGUGAGUAAUGCUUAGGAAUCUGCCUAUUAGUGGGGGACAACAUUCCGAAAGGAAUGCUAAUACCGCAUACGUCCUACGGGAGAAAGCAGGGGAUCUUCGGACCUUGCGCUAAUAGAUGAGCCUAAGUCGGAUUAGCUAGGUGGUGGGGUAAAGGCCUACCAAGGCGACGAUCUGUAGCGGGUCUGAGAGGAUGAUCCGCCACACUGGGACUGAGACACGGGCCAGACUCCUACGGGAGGCAGCAGUGGGGAAUAUUGGACAAUGGGGGGAACCCCGAUCCAGCCAUGCCGCGUGUGUGAAGAAGGCCUUAUGGUUGUAAAGCACUUUAAGCGAGGAGGAGGCUACUGAGACUAAUACUCUUGGAUAGUGGACGUUACUCGCAGAAUAAGCACCGGCUAACUCUGUGCCAGCCGCCGCCGUAAAAC